AUCCGGUUAAAAUUCCGGAACCG
rnacentral:snRNA from 1 species